UGCAAGUCGAACGAAGUAGCAAUACUUAGUGGCAGACGGGUGAGUAACAUGUAGGUAUCUUCCCUUUGGUGAGGAAUAACACGAGGAAACUUGUGCUAAUACCUCAUAAGUCUUUACGGAGAAAGCUUUAUGCGCCGAAGGAUGAGCCUGCACUUGAUUAGUUUGUUGGUGGGGUAAUGGCCUACCAAGACUUUGAUCAAUAGCUGAUCUGAGAGGAUGAUCAGCCACAUUGGGACUGAGACACGGCCCAAACUCCUACGGGAGGCAGCAGUAGGGAAUAUUGCACAAUGGAGGAAACUCUGAUGCAGCGAUGCCGCGUGAGUGAAGAAGGCCUUUGGGUUGUAAAGCUCUUUCGUCGGGGAAGAAAAUGACUGUACCCGAAUAAGAAGGUCCGGCUAACUUCGUGCCAGCAGCCGCGGUAAUACGAAGGGACCUAGCGUAGUUCGGAAUUACUGGGCUUAAAGAGUUCGUAGGUGGUUAAAAAAGUUGGUGGUGAAAUCCCAGAGCUUAACUCUGGAACUGCCAUCAAAACUUUUUAGCUAGAGUAUGAUAGAGGAAAGCAGAAUUUCUAGUGUAGAGGUGAAAUUCGUAGAUAUUAGAAAGAAUACCAAUUGCGAAGGCAGCUUUCUGGAUCAUUACUGACGCUGAGGAACGAAAGCAUGGGUAGCGAAGAGGAUUAGAUACCCUCGUAGUCCAUGCCGUAAACGAUGUGUGUUAGACGUUGGAAAUUUAUUUUCAGUGUCGCAGCGAAAGCAUUAAACACACCGCCUGGGGAGUACGACCGCAAGGUUAAAACUCAAAUGAAUUGACGGGGACCCGCACAAGUAGUGGAGCAUGUGGUUUAAUUCGAAGAUACGCGCAGAACCUUACCAACACUUGACAUGUUCGUCGCGACUUUAAGAGAUUAAAGUUUU
rnacentral:rRNA from 1 species